UUGUAGCUUUUUGCAUUGUAUGUAUUUGCUUUUCGUUUAAAACGUGCUGCGAAAAUCAACAGUAAAUCAUUGAUGUGAGAAACGUGUAAGCGGCAACAAGUUCAAGUAACGCGAAGCUAAAUUAUCAGCUACAAAGGCAACAAUUAUCUAUGUGUAUAUCCGUAACGAAACGAUUAAUCGGUAAAACGUGAAUAAAACAAAAAGGAGAAAAAAACUCCAACUCACCCUAAAGAAAUCGGGAAUUCUUCGAGUAAAGAAUUUAAUUUGCAUAAAUUAAUGACGAUGACGUUGAAAAACUGAUAUUGAUUGUAUAAGUAUUAGUAUAAAUAUACAAUACAAAUAUAAAUUUAUAAAUGCAUAGAUGUGUAUGUGUUUGGUAUGAAAACAAUUUUAAGUUUUAUGAAAGUGAAAUGCGCUGAUGAAAUCGACGGAAAAUCCAUGGUCAAGCAUAACGCGUUUAACAAAUUUAUAUAUGUAUAUACUCGUACAUACAGUUACUGCGUUUUAAAUUAAAUUAUAUUAAAAA